GUGGGGAAUCUUCCGCAAUGGACGAAAGUCUGACGGAGCGACGCCGCGUGAGUGAAGAAGGCCUUCGGGUCGUAAAGCUCUGUUAAUCGGGACGAAAGAGCCUAGUGUGAAUAAUGCUAGGAAGUGACGGUACCGGAAUAGAAAGCCACGGCUAACUACGUGCCAGCAGCCGCGGUAAUACGUAGGUGGCAAGCGUUGUCCGGAAUUAUUGGUCGUAAAGCGCGCGCAGGCGGAUCUGCCAGUCUGUCUUAAAAGUUCGGGGCUUAACCCCGUGAUGGGAUGGAAACUACAGAGCUAGAGUAUCGGAGAGGAAAGUGGAAUUCCUAGUGUAGCGGUGAAAUGCGUAGAUAUUAGGAAGAACACCAGUGGCGAAGGCGACUUUCUGGACGAAAACUGACGCUGAGGCGCGAAAGCCAGGGGAGCGAACGGGAUUAGAUACCCCAGUAGUCC
rnacentral:rRNA from 1 species